UAUAGAUGAUGAAAAUUGAGACUUGAACCUAGAACGGAAAGAAAUCGAUUUAUGGACGAGUAUGUCCUUUUCACAUUUGUGGUAUCGAGAGUUCCAGGUUAGCUCGGGUUGGAGGCCGUCAGAGAUAUUAUCACCCUAUCGAGUUAACGUUAUCGGAGUAAGUAAACUCAAGUGAUUCGAGUCUAUGGCAUGUAUAGGGUUUUAAUGUGAGUAUGUAAUAUUAUGAUUUAGCCAAAGGCAUUGGCUUGUUAUUAAGGUAGUAUUAGUCAUGUAAAUUGGCCUAUGUCGGCUAAUGACGUUAUGGGCCCAUAUGAUUAUUCUUAUGCAUUUAUGUUAUUAUUUCUUGUGAUGUGGCUUACAACAUGUAUGCCUAGAGAUUGAAUUGAGAUUCAUUGAUGAGCUAGUAACUAAUGCAGGAUUAAGUGAUUGGUAAAUAGUUAAUAA